rnacentral:rRNA from 1 species
UACGUGGGGGGCGAGCGUUGUUCGGAAUUACUGGGCGUAAAGGGUUCGUAGGUGGCCCGCUAAGUCACACGUGAAAUCCCUCAGCUUAACUGGGGAACUGCGUGUGAGACUGGCAGGCUUGAGUGCAGGAGAGGAACGCGGAAUUCCAGGUGUAGCGGUGAAAUGCGUAGAUAUCUGGAGGAACACCGGUGGCGAAGGCGGCGGUCUGGACUGUAACUGACACUGAGGAACGAAAGCCAGGGGAGCAAACGGG